UGAGCAAUCUGCCCUUCACAUCGGAAUAACCAUUGGAAACGAUGGCUAAUACCGAAUAUGACUUCGGAUCGCAUGAUCUGAAGUGGAAAGCUCCGGCGGUGAAGGAUGAGCUCGCGGCCUAUCAGCUUGUUGGUGAGGUAAUAGCUCACCAAGGCGAUGGACGGGUAGCCGGCCUGAGGAGGGUGACCCGGCCACACGUGGGACUGACGACACCGGCACGA
rnacentral:rRNA from 1 species